rnacentral:rRNA from 1 species
CUACACAUGCAGUCGAGCGCACCUUCGGGUGAGCGGCGGACGGGUUAGUAACGCGUGGGAACAUACCCUUUUCUACGGAAUAGCCUCGGGAAACUGAGAGUAAUACCGUAUAAGCCCUUCGGGGGAAAGAUUUAUCGGGAAAGGAUUGGCCCGCGUUAGAUUAGAUAGUUGGUGGGGUAAUGGCCUACCAAGUCUACGAUCUAUAGCUGGUUUUAGAGGAUGAUCAGCAACACUGGGACUGAGACACGGCCCAGACUCCUACGGGAGGCAGCAGUGGGGAAUCUUAGACAAUGGGCGCAAGCCUGAUCUAGCCAUGCCGCGUGUGUGAUGAAGGUCUUAGGAUCGUAAAGCACUUUCGCCAGGGAUGAUAAUGACAGUACCUGGUAAAGAAACCCCGGCUAACUCCGUGCCAGCAGCCGCGGUAAUACGGAGGGGGUUAGCGUUGUUCGGAAUUACUGGGCGUAAAGCGUACGUAGGCGGAUUGGAAAGUUGGGGGUGAAAUCCCAGGGCUCAACCCUGGAACUGCCUCCAAAACUAUCAGUCUAGAGUUCGAGAGAGGUGAGUGGAAUUCCAAGUGUAGAGGUGAAAUUCGUAGAUAUUUGGAGGAACACCAGUGGCGAAGGCGGCUCACUGGCUCGAUACUGACGCUGAGGUACGAAAGUGUGGGGAGCAAACAGGAUUAGAUACCCUGGUAGUCCACACCGUAAA